UAGGGAAUCUUCGGCAAUGGACGGAAGUCUGACCGAGCAACGCCGCGUGAGUGAAGAAGGUUUUCGGAUCGUAAAGCUCUGUUGUAAGAGAAGAACGAGUGUGAGAGUGGAAAGUUCACACUGUGACGGUAUCUUACCAGAAAGGGAUGGCUAACUACGUGCCAGCAGCCGCGGUAAUACGUAGGUCCCGAGCGUUGUCCGGAUUUAUUGGGCGUAAAGCGGGCGCAGGCGGUUAGAUAAGUCUGAAGUUAAAGGCUGUGGCUUAACCAUAGUAGGCUUUGGAAACUGUUUAACUUGAGUGCAAGAGGGGAGAGUGGAAUUCCAUGUGUAGCGGUGAAAUGCGUAGAUAUAUGGAGGAACACCGGUGGCGAAAGCGGCUCUCUGGCUUGUAACUGACGCUGAGGCUCGAAAGCGUGGGGAGCAAACAGGAUUAGAUACCCUGGUAGUCCACGCUGUAAACGAUGAGUGCUAGGUGUUAGACCCUUUCCGGGGUUUAGUGCCGUAGCUAACGCAUUAAGCACUCCGCCUGGGGAGUACGACCGCAAGGUUG
rnacentral:rRNA from 1 species